rnacentral:lncRNA from 1 species
CUACAGUGCAGCCUACCAGUUACAGAUUAACUUAAAUGUUAAUUUGAGAGAUGUGAAAUGUUUGUCCCCAUUAUCUGAAGUUCAGCCAAACGAUGAUGAGCUGGAAUUCAAGUCACUUUAAGCUCUCUCACAAAAUUCCUGGUAUAAGUAAUUUAGCACAGUGGAAUACUAAAAACCAACCAACCAAACAAACAAAAAACAAAUCCUAGACCUUCUUUCCAGUCCUACUGAACUCAAAUGAAGAAAAGGACAUUGCUGGAACUGGAGCCUUACAACUUCACUCUGUCAAGGAACAGGGGAAAAAGAUGGUUAGAGCUACAGAGCAGAUCACUGGCUGAGCUGAUGAUCACACAGAGGUAUCAUUCUGAUAAGUCUUUCACCACCUGCUGAUUGUCUUCCUUCUGCUGGGUGUUCACAGGUAAAGAAACUGGCCCUUCCUUAUAAGAUACUGUAGUAAUGGUGGACACUUAUUCCCUAAAGGAAUUUUUACUUUGCAUCCCCUAUUUGCCGUUGAUCUAGGAUCUUUAUCUCAUCUAUGUAACGAGCUAAUUCUUUUCUUUUGUGAAAUAUAUGUUUGUGUUUAAAGUACAUUUCUUCUUUUUCGCUUGUAAACUUAGGCCACCAUGGUGACAAUAAUUCUAAUACUCCAGAUCUGAAUUAAUCAUGCUGAAGAUACUUUUAACCUAUUGUC